rnacentral:rRNA from 1 species
UACGAAGGGGGCUAGCGUUGUUCGGAAUUACUGGGCGUAAAGCGUAUGUAGGCGGAUCGUUAAGUCGGGGGUGAAAUCCCGAGGCUCAACCUCGGAACUGCCUUCGAUACUGGCGAUCUUCGAGUCCGGGAGAGGUGAGUGGAACUCCGAGUGUAGAGGUGAAAUUCGUAGAUAUUCGGAAGAACACCAGUGGCGAAGGCGGCUCACUGGCCCGGUACUGACGCUGAGGAGCGAAAGCGUGGGGAGCGAACAGG